ACAGGGCUGAUGGACAGAAGGCAGGUGUGGUGGAUGGAACACAGGUGUGAUGAGAACACAGUUGUGUGGUGGAUAGAACACAAGUGUGAUGGAUGGAACACAGAUGUGGUGGAUGGAACACAGGUGUGAUAGAUGGAACACUGGUGUGGUGGAUGGAAUGCUGGUGUGAUGAAGAGAACACAGCUGUGAUGGAUGAAGCACAGGUGUGAUGAGUAAACAAAGUGAUGGAUGGAACACAAGUGUGAUGAAUGGAGCACAGGUGUAAUGAUUUCCCUGUUAUUCAGGUGCGCUCUGUGAGCUGAGGAUCAUUUACCUGGAGUGCCUCACCUGUCCUGGCACACCGCCCCCACACCACGCAGGGGUGUCCCUGAAAGGGUGCGGGCGCGGUCCAGGACCGGGUGGGCCGCGGUGGUGGUGGCGCUGGUGGAGCUCAGCCUGCGGAUGGACUUGCACAUGGGGCAGGGGUAGUCGCACAGGCCCUCGAUGUCCU